rnacentral:siRNA from 1 species
AAAGAGAGGUGUAUUUUUCAUACA